rnacentral:rRNA from 1 species
GACGAACGCUGGCGGCGUGCCUAAUACAUGCAAGUAGGACGCAGUUGCGAACGGGUGAGUAACGCGUAGGUAACUGCCUCUUAGAGGGGGAUAACUAUUGGAAACGAUAGCUAAUACCGCAUACUAGUAGAUGGACCUGCGUUGUAUUAGCUAGUAGGUAGGGUAAUGGCCUACCUAGGCAACGAUACAUAGCCGAACAUGGAGGGUGAUCGGCCAAGCUGGGAAUGAGACACGGCCCAGACGCCUACGGGAGGCAGCAGUAGGGAAUCGUCGGCAAUAGGGGGAACCCUGACCGAGCAACGCCGCGGGAGUGAAGAAGGUUUUCGGAUCGUAAAGCUCUGUUGGUAAGGAAGCGGUACUUAACCAGAAAGGGACGGCUAACUACGUGCCAGCAGCCGCGGUAAUAA